AAAAAGAUAGCAUAUAGUAAUGCUUCUAGUUUCGACCUAGAAAAUGAUCACAAUUUUGGGGAUCUCUUUUUA
rnacentral:tRNA from 1 species